rnacentral:lncRNA from 1 species
GAUUGGUAUUAUUUGAAAAGAAGAAAGAUUGAAUGCUGAAAUCUGAUUGUAGUUCAAUAGAGAGAAUGAGUCUAAGUUUGUAUGAAACACUGUAAUGUGAAUGGCAGUUCUGUGUGAAGAAUUCCAGUGAUUGGAACGAGGGUAAUUGUGUGCUAAAAGCUGUGAAGGCACAGUAUUACAGUUGGAGAUUAUGAGGGUGAAUAUAUUGGUGGAAAUAGUAGUUAUUG